rnacentral:rRNA from 1 species
UACGUAGGGUGCAAGCGUUAUCCGGAAUCACUGGGCGUAAAGCGUGCGUAGGUGGAUGUUUAAGUGUGAUGUUAAAUCGUGGGGCUCAACCCUGUCGUUGCAUCGCAUACUGGGCAUCUAGAGGACGGCAGAGGCAAGUGGAAUUGGUAGUGUAGCAGUGAAAUGCGUAGAUAUUACCAGGAACACCAAUGGCGAAGGCAGCUUGCUGGGCCACUCCUGACACUGAGGUACGAAAGGCGUGGGGAGCGAACAGG